rfam:Oryza meridionalis cultivar OR44 (W2112) chromosome 3, whole genome shotgun sequence.
AAUAAACGCAGUCAUGAGUUCCCGUGUCCAACUUUGAUCGUCCGUUUUAUUUGAAUUUUUGUAUGAUUAGUAUUUUUAUUGUUAUUACAUUAUAAAGUAUGAAUAGUACUUUAGACGUGACUUAUGUUUUGUAGUUUUUUCAAAAUAAAAAAGACAAACGAUCAAAGUUGGAAAAAAAAACUUAUGGCUGCGCUUAUU